rnacentral:rRNA from 1 species
AUUGAACGCUGGCGGCAUGCCUUACACAUGCAAGUCGAACGGUAACAGGUCUUCGGAUGCUGACGAGUGGCGAACGGGUGAGUAAUACAUCGGAACGUGCCCGAUCGUGGGGGAUAACGGAGCGAAAGCUUUGCUAAUACCGCAUACGAUCUACGGAUGAAAGCAGGGGACCGCAAGGCCUUGCGCGAACGGAGCGGCCGAUGGCAGAUGAGGUAGUUGGUGGGAUAAAGGCUUACCAAGCCGACGAUCUGUAGCUGGUCUGAGAGGACGACCAGCCACACUGGGGCUGAGACACGGCCCAGACUCCUACGGGAGGAAGCAGUGGGGAAUUUUGGACAAUGGGCGCAAGCCUGAUCCAGCAAUGCCGCGUGCAGGAUGAAGGCCUUCGGGUUGUAAACUGCUUUUGUACGGAACGAAAAGGCUCUGGUUAAUACCUGGGGCUCAUGACGGUACCGUAAGAAUAAGCACCGGCUAACUACGUGCCAGCCGCCGCAGUAAAAC